rnacentral:rRNA from 1 species
AGUGAACGCUGGCGGUAGGCCUAACACAUGCAAGUCGAACGGCAGCACAGUAAGAGCUUGCUCUUACGGGUGGCGAGUGGCGGACGGGUGAGGAAUACAUCGGAAUCUACUUUUUCGUGGGGGAUAACGUAGGGAAACUUACGCUAAUACCGCAUACGACCUACGGGUGAAAGCAGGGGAUCUUCGGACCUUGCGCGAUUGAAUGAGCCGAUGUCGGAUUAGCUAGUUGGCGGGGUAAAGGCCCACCAAGGCGACGAUCCGUAGCUGGUCUGAGAGGAUGAUCCGCCACACUGGAACUGAGACACGGUCCAGACUCCUAAGGGAGGCAGCAGUGGGGAAUAUUGGACAAUGGGCGCAAGCCUGAUCCAGCCAUACCGCGUGGGUGAAGAAGGCCUUCGGGUUGUAAAGCCCUUUUGUUGGGAAAGAAAAGCAGCAGGUUAAUACCCCGCUGUUCUGACGGUACCCAAAGAAUAAGCACCGGCUAACUUCGUG